GUGGUUUCCUGGAGAGUCCAGGAUGUAAACUUGAAGCUCUGAGAUUGGAGAGCUGUGGUUUGUCAGAGAUCAGCUGUGAUUAUCUGGCAGCAGCACUGAAGUCCAACCCCUCCCAUCUGAGAGAGCUGGACCUGUGGGGAAACAACCUGAAGUAUCCAGAUGUGAAGCAGCUGUCUGAUCUUCAGCAGAGUCCAGACUACAGACUGGAGACUCUGGAGUGGAAGU